UCCCGCAUGCUGCACACAUCAUCACCCGAUUGGGACCAGGACUCGCCAGCGUUGGCUGGCUGUUCGACAUCGGACCAGUGAUCGCCAGUCAUUUCGUCGUCGGUGGUGGCAGGUAGUUCUCCGGAACCCAAGUCCUUCUACGACUUCCAGAAGGUUGCAACAGCCGGUCCAACGUGUCCGAAGGAUCAUCGUCGUCAUCAUUGCAUCAGUGUACAACUCGGUUUCAUAAACUAAGCACUCAAGACAUCGAAGACAUGAGGAACACGAGCGGACUCUGGAUGGAGAAGAAAGAGCGAGUUGGAAAAGACGGGAAACGUCUUCUUUCGCCAGACAUCGUGUUCGGUCAAUCCGAGUA